CCUAGAGAAAUUAUUAGUGAAACCAGGUGUCACCAUAACCAGUUGCAUCGGUAAUGAAACCAGCAUAAGCUUCUGUAAGCAUUUAAAAGGUCACGCCUGUCAUUAUCAGGCAUGGAUAGCAUGUCAAGAUAAUAGUAAAUACAACAUUAAAACAAUAGAAUUAGAAAACGGGCCAAGUCCAUACGAAGGUCGCAUUGCAAUAAACGUGGAUAAUGCAACUGGUACAGUGUGUUUCGACGGAUUUGACUAUGAAGAUGCCAAAGUCGUUUGCAAAAUGUUAGGAUUCAGUGCUUCAUGGUAUUACGUCGAUGCCUACGAAGUAGCGGAAGAACGAUAUGCAAUGAUAAAGAACCUUGCAUGUAGUGGAAACGAAAAUCAUCUCAAUAACUGUUCGUAUAGUGUGCCGAGUUUUUUCAAUAAAUGUCAUUCUAAAUCAACGCGGAUCCUCUGUGUUGAAUGUGGUCGUCUGAAUGUUUCAAAUGGUUACGUACAGUCAUACGACUACAAGACAAAUACUGCAACCGUUCGAUGCCAUACUGACAUUCCACGUACUGUCCAGUACAUCUGCAAUAGAACAGGGUCAUGGACAAGCACUUCA